GACGUAGGGCGCGAGCGUUGUCCGGAUUUAUUGGGCGUAAAGGGCUCGUAGGCGGUUUGUCGCGUCGGGAGUGAAAACACCGGGCUUAACUCGGUGCUUGCUUUCGAUACGGGCAGACUAGAGGUAUGCAGGGGAGAACGGAAUUCCUGGUGUAGCGGUGAAAUGCGCAGAUAUCAGGAAGAACACCCGUGGCGAAGGCGGCUCUCUGGGACGGUACUGACGCUGAGACGCGAAAGCGUGGGGAGCGAACAGG
rnacentral:rRNA from 1 species